rnacentral:rRNA from 1 species
UACGUAGGCAGCGAGCGUUGUUCGGAAUUACUGGGCGUAAAGAGUGUGUAGGCGGUGCUCUAAGUUCGGUGUGAAAUCUCCCGCUUAACUGGGAGGGUGCGCCGGAAACUGGAGUGCUCGAGCGUGGGAGAGGAAAGCGGAAUUCCUGGUGUAGCGGUGAAAUGCGCAGAUAUCAGGAGGAACACCAAUGGCGAAGGCAGCUCGCUGGAACGGUACUGACGCUGGAGGCGACGAAAGCGUGGGGAGCGAACAGG